rnacentral:rRNA from 1 species
GACGAACGCUGGCGGCGUGCCUAAUACAUGCAAGUAGAACGCUGAAGGAGGAGCUUGCUUCUCUGGAUGAGUUGCGAACGGGUGAGUAACGCGUAGGUAACCUGCCUGGUAGCGGGGGAUAACUAUUGGAAACGAUAGCUAAUACCGCAUAAUAGUAGAUGUCGCAUGACAUUUGCUUAAAAGGUGCAAUUGCAUCACUACCAGAUGGACCUGCGUUGUAUUAGCUAGUUGGUGAGGUAACGGCUCACCAAGGCAACGAUACAUAGCCGACCUGAGAGGGUGAUCGGCCACACUGGGACUGAGACACGGCCCAGACUCCUACGGGAGGCAGCAGUAGGGAAUCUUCGGCAAUGGACGGAAGUCUGACCGAGCAACGCCGCGUGAGUGAAGAAGGUUUUCGGAUCGUAAAGCUCGGUUGUAAGAGAAGAACGAGUGUGAGAGUGGAAAGUUCACACUGUGACGGUAGCUUACCAGAAAGGGACGGCUAACUACGUG